GGGUAUACUCACUAGACAAGGGUAAGGCAGACUCGGUACCUGGGUCAACCCCUAGAGCUCGAAGAAGAAGAGUAAGAUGACGACCAAAGGGGAGACAACCUCGACUCAGCCUAAGGGAGUCUGCUAUAGAGUGAAUCAUAAUAUGUGGCAGGUUAAGGGCUCGACCCUCUAGCAGACAGGACACUACAAACAUGUCAGAGUAGGAGAGUGCAGUCCUAUGACCCGCUCUAGGGAGAAUCUCAUAGGUGACUAUGUGGUGAACAACUUUAGGGAG
rnacentral:lncRNA from 1 species